UUGAACCAUGCCAACUGCACAUAAAACUAUUAUUUUUGUUAGAUUAUUUGAACAUCAACUGGAAAUGCAGCCAGGUAUUUUAAUCACAAUAUUUGGCUUAAUUAGUUGUAUUCACCUUUCCAUACAUGAAAAAUACAAUUUAAUGUAAAAUAAAACCAUCCUAAAUUUGACAAAGAUGUAACGCUUAACAGUUGUCUAACCCAUGUUUGUAUUUUGUUGUCAUUGUAUGCAAUAAAAUAUUUAAGUUUAACAUU